rfam:Canis lupus familiaris chromosome 1, whole genome shotgun sequence.
GGGGGGAGGCCGGAUCCUGGGCUGUGUCCCUGCGCCCCGUGCUCCGGAGCCUGCGCUGUUGGAUUCACGCUCCCGCCCCGCAGCCCCCU